rnacentral:rRNA from 1 species
GGGUCAUUAGGUUGGUCGUGCCACCGGUACGUACUGGUCUCGCUGAUUCCUCCUUCCUGAAGAACCGUAAUGCCAUUAAUUUGGUGUUGCGGGGAAACAGGACUGUUACUUUGAAAAAAUUAGAGUGUUUAAAGCAAGCUAACGCUUGAAUACAUUAGCAUGGAAUAAUGAAAUAGGACGAUCGAUCCUAUUUUGUUGGUUUCUAGGAUUGACGUA